rnacentral:rRNA from 1 species
GGGCGAGCGUUAUCUGGACCCAUUGGGCGUAAAGCGCGCGUAGGCGGCCGCGUAGGCGGCGUGUCAAAUCCCGGGGCUCAACCCCGGUCCGCCCCCCGAACCCCGCGGCUCGGGUCCGGUCGGGGAGGGUGGAACACCCGGUGUAGCGGUGGAAUGCGCAGAUAUCGGGUGGAACACCGGUGGCGAAGGCGGCCCUCUGGGCCGAGACCGACGCUGAGGCGCGAAAGCUGGGGGGGCGAA